rnacentral:rRNA from 1 species
CCUACGGGUGGCAGCAGUGAGGAAUAUUGGUCAAUGGACGAGAGUCUGAACCAGCCAAGUAGCGUGAAGGAUGACUGCCCUAUGGGUUGUAAACUUCUUUUAUAUGGGAAUAAAAUGUUCCACGUGUGGGAUUUUGUAUGUACCCUAUGAAUAAGGAUCGGCUAACUCCGUGCCAGCAGCCGCGGUAAUACGGAGGAUCCGAGCGUUAUCCGGAUUUAUUGGGUUUAAAGGGAGCGUAGGUGGAUUGUUAAGUCAGUUGUGAAAGUUUGCGGCUCAACCGUAAAAUUGCAGUUGAAACUGGCAGUCUUGAGUGCAGUAGAGGUGGGCGGAAUUCGUGGUGUAGCGGUGAAAUGCUUAGAUAUCACGAAGAACUCCGAUUGCGAAGGCAGUUCACUGGACUGCAACUGACGCUGAGGCUCGAAAGUGUGGGUAUCAAACAGGAUUAGAUACCCCUGUAGUC